AUUGAACGCUGGCGGCAGGCCUAACACAUGCAAGUCGAACGAGUGGCGGACGGGUGAGUAAUGUCUGGGAAACUGCCUGAUGGAGGGGGAUAACUACUGGAAACGGUAGCUAAUACCGCAUACCAUCAGAUGUGCCCAGAUGGGAUUAGCUUGUUGGUGGGGUAACGGCUCACCAAGGCGACGAUCCCUAGCUGGGCUGAGAGGAUGACCAGCACCUCUGGAACUGAGACACGGGCCAGAUUCCUACGUGAGGAGGCAGUGGGGAAUAUUGCACAAUGGGCGAAAGCCUGAUGCAGCCAUGCCGCGGGUAUGAAGAGGGCCUUCGGGUUUUAAAGUACUUUCAGCGGGGAGGCGUUACCCGCAGAAGAAGCACCGGCUAACUCCGUGCCAGCAGCCGCGGUAAUUC
rnacentral:rRNA from 1 species